rnacentral:tRNA from 1 species
GCUCAAUUAGCUCAGUUGGUAGAGCAUGAGACUCUUAAUCUCAGGUUCGUGGGUUUGAGCCCCAUGUUGGGUG